rnacentral:rRNA from 1 species
UACAGAGGGGGCAAGCGUUGUUCGGAAUUACUGGGCGUAAAGGGCGCGUAGGCGGCCUGUUAAGUCGAACGUGAAAUCCUCGGGCUCAACCCGGGAACUGCGUCCGAUACUGGCAGGCUUGAAUUCGGGAGAGGGAUGCGGAAUUCCAGGUGUAGCGGUGAAAUGCGUAGAUAUCUGGAGGAACACCGGUGGCGAAGGCGGCAUCCUGGACCGAGAUUGACGCUGAUGCGCGAAAGCCAGGGGAGCAAACGGG